rnacentral:misc_RNA from 1 species
UUUCCGUAGGUGAACCUGCGGAAGGAUCAUUAUCGUACAAAAUUUGAAUGGCAUGCGAGGACUGUCUCUUUCCCCGAAGUCUUUCACGCCCGAGUGUUUCCUCUUGCAUAAUAAUCCAUCUCACCCUUUGUGCAGCACCUCGUGGUCACCCUUCGUGUUCAUCUCAGAUGGGAGCUCACGUUUUCACACAAACCCCCCUCUUCAAAAUGUAUAAAGAACACAUUUAUGCGGUCAAUACAACGUUCAACAACGGAUCACUUGGCUCAAGCAUCCAUGAAA